rnacentral:rRNA from 2 species
GAAAAAGAGGAGUGGRAACGGGUGAGUAACACGUGGGUAACCUGCCCAUCAGAAGGGGAUAACACUUGAAACAGGUGCUAAUACCGUAUAACAAUCAAACCGCAGGUUUUGAUUUGAAAGGCGCUUUCGGGUGUCGCUGAUGGAUGGACCCGCGGUGCUUAGCUAGUUGGUGAGGUAACGGCUCACCAAGGCCACGAUGCAUAGCCGACCUGAAGGGUGAUCGGCCACAUUGGGACUGAGACACGGCCAAACUCCUACGGAGGCAGCAGUAGGGAAUCUUCGCAAUGGACGAAAGUCUGACCGAGCAACGCCCGAGUGAAGAAGGUUUUCGG